ensembl:lncRNA
UGUCCUUUAAGACUGACACAGUGCCUAUUGUAAGGAAAUGGAAGAGUGCAGUGUUUGCAGUGUUGAGGAUGCCAUCAGGAAAAGCUGUCAUGGGUUCGCCAGCAGGCAAACCCCUCGAGAUUCCCGACAGACUCAACAUCCACAGAAGGUGAAAGACAGCACCUGAACGCUGCCUGACAGCGUAUGACAGAAACAUCGCAUGUGCACUGCAGCAUAUUACCCAUAAAGCCUUCCCCAGCACCUCAGGCCAGCCUGUAAUUUGAUCUCGUGAUCACCUUCUGCAAGGUCAAAGGUCAGGUCUAAUGAAUGAAGGGCUGUACGCUCCUUUUGGUAAUCCAUCUUCAUUGCUGAGAAGUAUACCGUGUUGUGACAGAACGGACACUGAGAGAUUCUAGAAAAUGGAAAGCAGGUACCUAACACAGAUACAGCCAGACAACCAAUCAGACCUCCAAUAUAUGCACUGGACUGGAUGGAGAAACUCAGCCGCCAGCCAAUAACACGCAAGACAGAGUGAGACGAGUAUCUGAAUCUGCUGAUGUAUCGCUGCAUUUUCUGCACUGGUUCUGCAGGACAAUUUGGGGAUUUAAACAUGACAUUAAAUGGUGAAAGCCGUAACUGAAAGCAUUUCAAUUUUGACAAAAAUUAAAUUAACAAACACACCAGCUGUGAAGAAGAAGAACUACAUUGCUGGUGUUACAAUUCUAUGGAUAUCCAUUAGAUAUCUAUAAAAUGCAAGUAAUGAUAUAAUUGUGCACAAGUAGGAUAGCAGUCUUAACUUUUAAAAGGGAAAAGGAAAUCAUAAAAAAUAU